GGUUGGGGGCCGGGCGGGGCCUUAAGGGGCCAUGUCCCACUUACUUCUCAUUCCUUCAGAGCCCCUACUGCUCCCCCUUCUUCCUCCCACCAGAAGUCCCGCUUGCGCCUUCCUGUGGAGCCAGAGGGAGAAGAGGUGAACCAGAAGUAUAACAUGCAUCCAGAGAAGUGCAAAGACUUGGGCAUUUUACAAAGUGAAUACACCCAGCACCGAGAUCAAGAAACACCAUAAUCAGGAUCCGGAAGUCCCCCCAAAUAUCAGAGGCAAAGACUUCUGAAGGCCAGUGCUCCAACUUGAGAAAGCUGUGGAGGCUGUGGUUCAGGUCCGGGGAAUGAGCAUGGACGAAGUAGAAUAGUAUGCUGACUAGACCAGUGCUUCUCAAACUGCAGUGUGCCACUGAAUGACCCAGGCAUCUGGUUGAAAGGCAGGUUCUGAUUCAGCAAGCUGGGAAGGGGAUGCUGCGAUGCUACAUUCCUGUCAAGCUCCUACACUUGGUUAGCAAGGCCUUGAACCCAGAGAUUCUCAAUAAUGCUGUACAUAAGAAUCACACGGGAGGCUUUUCAAAACACUGCUGCCCAGGUCCCACCCCAGAACAAUUCAGUUGCAAUCUCUGGGGUGGGGCUCACAUCCAUAGGUUUUAAAAGCUCCCCUGGUGAUUCCAGUGUGCAACCAGAAACAGUGGAUGCUGGUUCCCUGGAGCACCCCCAGUGCCUGAGCUGAGGUGGGAGGGAAGUGAGGUGUGGGGUCAGGUCCGGUGUCUGAGCAAACGAUCCAGUAUGACAAAGGGCAAGAGAUUUCUUAGUCAGCAAUGGACCAUUUGCCCCUUAGUGGAGGUGAAGGGAGGGAUUUCUGAAGGAAUUCUUUGGCGUGGGGCUACCUGCUAACCCAGGUCACAUCCUCCCAGGACCAAGAACAGACCUGUGCCUUCACCUUAUCAAGCAAGUCAGAGCUCCCCAGAGCUGCUCCAGGGGCUGGGCUCACAUGCCCCCAGGCAGUUCAAACAUUUUCAAAACCUUACUAGGGCAGUGGGAGGAGGUGCUGCCAGCUGCUCCCACACCCUGCCCCCUCUGCCCUGCUAGAGAAAGAGCCAGAUGAGUCCAGAGAUUACAAGCCCUGGAUCAACAUGGGCUAUUCAGGAUGAAGUGCCAUAGUCCUGGGUUCUGACGCCCUCUGGUGGACACCUAGAGUUGAAGUUGGUAACCAACAGACUACUGUGUCCAGGUCACUUCUCCCAGCUUUACUCCCACCCACAGUCUGUUUGCCUGUGUUUACUUUUUAAGUCAUCAGGAUGUACACUACCAAGAGUGAAUCGUAAUGUCAACUAUGGACGAUAAUGAUGUGUCAAGUGAGGUUCAUUGAUUGUGACAAAGGGUAAUUUUAGGGGAAAUGAGUAGCUUCCAGAAGAUCUUCUGUAAGCAAAAUGAAAGAUAGUAUUGCUAGUGGUGAACUCAAGAUUUACAGCUUCAACUUUCACUCUUUUGAAGCAUUCUGAAUACCCCGGAAGCAAAACUCCUCUUCGUUCCGCUUUCUUUCCCAUGACUCUUUGUUAACCUCAAAGGCAGGUACAGAGUCUUAGCCAUCAUUGUAUUCCUAGUGCCUUGCACAAUGGCACAUAAAAAGCUAGUUUCAUCUCCACAUGACUGUUAUCGCCAUCGACUUGCCGAGCCAGACUAAACCGGGUAUAUGACAAUGGUUCUCCACCAAACUGAUAUUUAAAAAAGAAAAAAGGACAGAGAGAAAGCAUUAUGAGAGAAGAAAGGGAAUAGGGACAGUUAAAGAAAGUUUGGUGAGGUGUUAUACAUAUUAUUGGGCCAUUACUAUGACUUGCUAUACAUUCUCAAGGAAAAAAGUUCCCCCUUCAAAUCAGCAUUCUCCUCUGUGCCCAGUUCUGUCAACGGCAGAUGAGGGCUGGAUCACACACUGGCCUUCAUCUCAUUCAGACUUUUCAUUCAGGGUUUCUGUUAUGCAUGUCUACUGGUAUACAAUUUGACCAGUGCUUUCUUUACUUCAUCUUACCUACUUGAUUGUCUCUCUGCCCUGAAACUUCUUACAAGAUUUUCCAUAAUUAGCUCUACUCAAGACUGAAUAUACCCUUCCUUUGUGAGAUCAGUUACGCCUCAAGACCACCACUUCGAAUAUAAAUGAAUACCUGAUGACAGCUUUGGGUAUUAUCUCCUGCUUACUGGGUGAAAGCCAUCCUUGUAUACUUCGUAUUCUUGCAAACUGGUGACAGAGAAAUCUUUCUUACUGAAAAUCUUACCAAGUUAGAGAAUGCUGAUCUUGCUUGAUCCAUCAUUGCGAGCUGCCACACAGAAGAGCCUAGUAGUAAAAUAGAGAAUUAAUAUAAUGAGGUACAUACCACUGUAUCAGACUGGUGAGGACUUUUCAUUACCACAUUAGAUUAUUGUAUAUCAAAUAUCCUUUUAAAUAUAUUAUCACCUUUCUAGAAACGGUCUUUAACCAAAAUAUUUAGUUUACAUGACAACUAAAUUUAGUGUGAUCCUUGAUUAGAUCUAAAUUGGGGCAGGGGGUGGGCAGCUUGAAGGACAUUAUUGGAAGAAACAAGAAAUUUGAAUAUAGACUGUAUCCUAGAUAACAGGAUUGUAUCAAUAUUAGAUUUAGGAGUGUGAUAAUGGUAUUGUGUUUUUUGGAGGAGAACGCCCUUGUUCUUAGGAGAUGAAUGCCAAAGAAUUUAAGGAUGAAGUAUUGUGAUGUCUGUCACUUAAUUCCAAAGAGUUCAGUUUAAAAAGUAUGUAAGAAAUAAAGGAAAUGUGGUUAACGAUCAGUGAA